rnacentral:rRNA from 1 species
GACGAACCGUCCUAACGUUGUUCGGAAUCACUGGGCUUAAAGGGCGCGUAGGCGGGUUCCCAAGUCGGUGGUGAAAUCUUUCGGCCCAACCGGAAAACAGCCGCCGAUACUGGGAGUCUUGAGGGAGGUAGGGGUCGAUGGAACUUCCGGUGGAGCGGUGAAAUGCGUAGAGAUCGGAAAGAACACCAACGGCGAAAGCACUCUGCUGGGCCGACACUGACACUGAGAGACGAAAGCUAGGGGAGCGAAUGGG